rnacentral:rRNA from 1 species
UACGGGGGGGGCAAGCGUUGUUCGGAAUUACUGGGCGUAAAGGGCUCGUAGGCGGCCAACUAAGUCAGACGUGAAAUCCCCUCGGCUUAACCGGGGAACUGCGUCUGAUACUGGAUGGCUUGAGUUUGGGAGAGGGAUGCGGAAUUCCAGGUGUAGCGGUGAAAUGCGUAGAUAUCUGGAGGAACACCGGUGGCGAAGGCGGCA